rnacentral:lncRNA from 1 species
AGCACGGCAGAAGAGACUGGUCGCCUAGACGGUGAGACCAGUUGCUUUGAAACAGAUUCAAAACUUGCGACUGGUCACUUUCUGGUGAUUUUCCAAAGUCACACUCUACUUCGAAACCACCGGUCACAAAUAGCCAGCGACCGGUCGCUUUUCCCGAAGCCUUUGCCCUCUAGGUGAGCCAAUUUUUUCCAACACAGACAAAUACAAAGACCAGAGAAAACACAGGUAGAAGAUGACCCAACCAACCGGUGGUGGCUUCGUCAAAUUCCUCACUAGUUCGAAACUAAUGAUGGGGUGGACAAGGUAACCCAUCCUUAUUAAGAAUGGGACCUGAAGACAGUAUCCAAUUUUGAACGGGUUAGAGGGACUUUCAUGAUGAUUUCAAAUACCUCUUUACACUAGCCAAUUUUGAAUCAUGGUAUAUAUACAAACAAAAAAAAAAACAAAACAAAAGGAGAGAAAAACAUUAAAUUAAACCUGAAGACAGUCCAAUGAUUCAAAUGAGAAUUGUAAAGUUGGGGUGCCGGCGUAGAAAACACAAGUGUAUAAAACACUUAAGUAUUCAAUAGUUACAUGUCUAGAGCUAAAUGUAUUUCUAAUUUAGUCAUGCCUAAUUUGUUUUAGAGGGAAUUUUAACUUAAAUUAUAAUGUAACAUCCUUACCCAAAAAUUUAAUUAUUAGUUAAUUCUUUUAAUUUAAAUUAUGAAAUUCCAAUUUUUCCCCCGAGAGUAGGAGUAAUUUGGUCACUUUUUAAUUGGGAAGGAUUUCGGAAAAAUGAUUGGCACUAGUGCGUGGAUCGUGCCGAGAUGAGUUCGUAAACACGUAGUUGGCUCAAAUCGGAGUUGUAACGAAGAAGUUACGAUCAAAAGAAACAUAGUGGCAAAACUGUAAUUUUUUCGAAGACGUAGUUGUCUCUCGUGUUUGCAAAUAGACCCCCCCUUAACAACCGAUCGGAUUUUUGCAGCACUGCCGCUACGUUGGGCCAUUGUUGGCCACGGGACCAGAACCAAAGUGAGCAGCUCCGCUCCCUUUCUAGCCCCACCCCUUCUCUGCCGCAAUCCGCCGCCCAGGUCGCCGAAAAACGAGAAAUAUGGCCGGUUUUUACAUGAGUUUUCCAUCGCUCGUUUCAGAUGUUUCUGGCCACCAAACUUUACGAUCUAAGUAUGCUUUUUCAUCCUCUCACUGUGUUGUAGUUGCUGGUUGGGUCAUUUAGGAUCGAUUUCUGCGUUUUGGUUGUUGAUUUAGUGAUUAAAGUUUUGGCCGGUUUUGGCUCGUGAUUCCGGCCAUCUCCAGCCACUUUUUGUUGUUGGUCCAAGAACAAAAGUUUCUCCACUCAGUGUCCUGAUCAUGUACGUAUAAGUCUUAGCAGACGGUUUGAAGAUUUUUCGAUCACCGGAAUUGCUUUGGACAUAGCGUGUGGGCACUGCUUUGGUGUCCCUCUUGUUUCUAAAAUAAUCACCAUCGUCCUGAACACGACAGUAUACUCGGAUUUGAAUUUGGUUAUCCUUUGAAUGUCGAUCGGAUAUCGCAUAUUAGGUAUUAUCUGAGUUCGAUAUGUUCGGACCGUUGGAUCGACUCCAAUUUACUAUAUGUUAAUCUAGGCAUCCCUAAGAUCGUGCAGGAAUUCGCGGAUCGUGAAUCGAAGCCCCAAAUGUUCCGAUUCAAUGACUUAAAGUUUGCGUUUAAUGAUAACUGUCCGAUCGUGCGAUCACGAGCAAUCCGACUGUUCGAUCCGGAUCAAACUUGCAGGAUGUGUAUCCUAAACCUUGUGGAACCCAUAGGAACUUUCGGAUUGUAAAUCGGAGGUCGUUGGCCUUGUGGGCCCAGUUGACCCAAUUUAGAAAGUUUGACCGCCCGGUUGAUCGAGUGUCUUCUGAGGCUAUCCCAUUAUAUGAAAUACGUGGUUGGAUCUUAGGAACAUCUAGUUCCUCGUGCCUAUACUUGAAACCCGGGAAACUAGGAUUUUAAUUUAAAGUUCCCAUCCGAAACAUUUUACAUUAUUCUCUUACUAGUAUUUUGAAAUAGGUACUCCGACCACGCGUACGCAGUAGGUGAGACCCUCUUAGGGUCAGGCAGUGUGAGACUAUUUGUGAGUGGACUUUGUUUUUCAAAUGAUAUGCAUUAUUUUACGAUGGAAGGAAAGUGGGUUAUAGUAUGUCAAUUGAAGUGCUAUAAGCACUGCCCCAUGAACCUCCCUGAAUAAAAAAAUUAUGGAAUGGAAUUGGAAUGUGAGAUACUUAGAUAUAUUGGAACCCGGGCACACUUGACGGGAUGUUUCGUAGACCAUUAGCGGGGUUAGUCUGCACGCAUAGGACUUGUCACAAGCAUACGAGUAUUGAGGAUUAUGUUGUACGUGUUGGUGAGCUUAGUCCCAGUUGGACGGCUCGUUCCCUAGCCACAUGGUCAAUUGAGAAUUCUUCCAUGUGGACUAGUUAAACAAUCCCCUGGUUGGAUUGUUUCCCUGGUACAAACUAGGUGGUGUCUUAUAUAUAUAUAUAACUAUUCGUUUCAUUAUUAAUAUCAGUGAGGAUACUUCCUCGCUCGUCGUGCCCACGCCAUGCCAACGGGCACUCGUCUUGAGAGAAUGGUUCAGGUAUAUUAUGAAAAGGUUUGAUUGGGUUGAGAAAUAAAGUACCUUUAUGGGGUUUCAUAUUUCAUUAUGAUUUUUAUCAAACUUUAUAUAUAUAUAUAUCCAUUAUGGUUUGAAUGCAUAUGGUUUUCGGCAUCGUUUUUUAAAUAGUGGGGUUACUAUACAUUGUUUUCAACUAACGAAAACUUUGUUUUUGUCCACUCACACUUUUCUGUUUUGCGCCCCCCAGGCAGUAAUUGAGCUGAGUUGAACGGCAGAGCCGAGCUGGAACUUCCGAGCCCCGACUUCCCUAUAGGGCAAUCUUUAUUCAUCUUUACGUAUGUUGAACUUCAUUUCGUUCGUAAACCGAAUUGUAUUAGAUAUGCUCUGUUAUCGCCCGUGUUAGGAUUUGAUUGUAAGGCCAGAGGCCUUUGUUGUAAACUGCUUGAAUGUAUCUGGUGCAUGCUGCCUGUUAGGAUAUAUGUAUAAAUGUGUUUUUAAUAGGUUGAGAAAUUUGGGAAAUGUCCAUUUUUCAAGAGAGACUCUGCCGAAUUUUCGGUAGAAAGUCUCGUGUCUUAGUAAGUCCGGAAAUAUUAUGGAAUUCGUCCCUGAUUCCGAAGAAUUCGGGGUGGGUCUUUUGUUAGUACUAGUUCUAUAUGUUAUAUAUAAUAUAAUAGUGGAGAGAUAAAAAAAAAGAAAAAAGAAAAAAUGGGAGAGGGAAGGGCACUACUACAAAAAGUGAAAAAGACGACCAGAAAACAACGACGGUCUAAGUGAAAACCGUCGUGGUUUUUAAAAAGACGACGGUUCUAAAAACACCGUCGUGUAAUACCACCUUAGACAACUAAAAAUGGAGAUUCAAAUGGCUGUUCAAAAACAACGACGUACCUAAUUAAAAAACCGACGUCUAUUUGAAACAGAUUUCCGCAGUGUAAAAUCAAAGCCAACAAAUAACGGCAGAAGUUAUGAAUCGACCGACGUAGAAAGUGAAGACGACGAUUUCAAUAAAAGCCGCCGUUUUUACUCAUAAAAUAACACGACGAGGUUUUCGUAUAAGACGCCGUAUAAUUACAAACAAAUCCACGGCUUUAAAAUACAAAAUAUCGCCGUAUUAAAUUAAUUUACAACGACGGAAAAUAUAAAUAUAUCGACGUCAUUAUCGUAUAGUUCUACGACGUUAUCUUUAAAUCGUACUAUAAAAUUUAACGUCGUAUUUAUUCAUUUUAUACGUCGUACCUUUAAUUUAAACCGUCGUCUUAAUAAGAAUUUUUGUUAACAAUUUUUUCCUUUAUUUUCUUAUCCUACGUCGGUAGAUCUACUUAAUGACAAGAAUUGAAAUCUGUCAUCCAAAAAAGAAACUUUACAUAUUCCAGAACAUUAAUUUCCUUCAUUUUAAAUUUCCUCCGGAAAAAAACUCUAUUUAUAACGCACUGUAAUUGAAAAAUAAACUGAAAGGUCACGGGAAAAAAAUUUCUAUUCAUAAUUUAAAAAUUCAAAUCCACGUCGGUUAUAUUAAACCUAACGACGUUAAAUGAAAAGAUUCCACAUCGCAAAACAAAUAUUGCGUCGUGUUAGUUUAGGGUUUCUUUAACAGUUUCAGUUUCUUUAACAGUUUGGUCCUUUAUCUUUCUGCAGGACUUGUAUAGUUCAAAGCAUUGACUUGUAUAGUUCAAAGUAUAGUUCAAAGCACUGAUUCGAUUGCUCAUGCUUUAUCGCAUUCUGAAGCCAUUUCUAUUCUUUAUCGCAUUCUUGAAACCCAUCAUCUUCUUCUUCUGAAGCUCUACGGAUAAAGGAAGAGGCUAUCACAAAUCUGACGGAUCUUCUUAGCCAAGAAAAUCAAGCAGAGGAUCAGGCACAUCUGAUCUUCAGAUUUCCCUGAGAAGCGAACUUUCCUUCGACAGCGAGUGGAGGCCAGGCUUGCAUCUCUUUUGAUGGAAAGCAAGGAGUAUUCAGAAGCACUAAGUGUCCUAUCAGGCUUGAUCAAGGAAGUGAGAAGGCUAGUUGACAAGCUUCUUCUUGUGGACAUAGAUUUGAUGCGAGUAAGCUCAAUUUCUCUUUGAGAAAGACAUCCAAAUUAUUGUCUUUGAGAUGUGAGAGACAGUGUCUCUGAGAGAGGAAGAACUUGGAACCCUACAUAUAAACCGAAAAUGAAUGAAAGCGACAAAUUUAUAGAAUAAAUUUUUAAAACCAACGGCGGUCCUUACAAAAAAACCGCCGUUUAAAUUGUAAAAUCAACGUCGGUAUGACCGACGUAUAUUACAGAAAUCCACGUCGGUACAUUAAUAAAACCGACGUGUUAAAUGAUCUACCAUGACUCGAGUUAUUACUUAUGUACUUUAAUUUUUGAGUUUACUACGACGGUACCUACAACACUACUGUCGUACUUAUUUACCACGUCCGUAGUUAAAUGUACCGUCGUAUUUUGUAAUUUAUACGUCGUAGUUAUAUGUAACCGCCGUAUUAUUUUUUUGAAAUGGUUUUAUAUGUAAGCAACUUUUCGUCUACCUGACUUACACAUGCACUGUUUCCAAACCCGAUUAAAAUUUCAAUCUCCCAAAGAAAACUUUUAGACUUUUUUCCUUGUCAGAGCACUGUCAGAGUAUCUCAUCGUCUUCCUCUCGUCUUCUUCGUCGUCUCUGAACUUAAACAUCGAUCGUCUUCCUCUUGCUUUCAUUGCACGCAAAAGGUAAGCUUUCAUUUUCACUAUUUUGGUUGCUGUUUUGCAUGCUCAUACUUUUUUGUUUGAAAAAUCUUUUUACCUUUUUUCUGGCCAAAAUCAUUUUACUUCUUUCCAAGUUCGAUAAAAUAUACAGACAAAGAGGGAAAGUUUCCAACUUUGAAGUCAACUACCUCAACUAAAUAAGACGACGGUAGCUUCUUAUUUACGUGGUUAAAUAUGUAGACCACGACGGUUCGUCAGUCGUUCUAGCGUCGUCUGAAAAUUGACAAAGUUGUUUUUAAAAUUAUAGUCUUUUUUUUAUUUGCUUGUUUAUUUGCAGGUUUGAUUUCUCUAAACAAUGGUUUUUGUUUUUCCCUAAUUUGAUAAAAUAUAAAGAAAAAGAAAUUAGGGUUGGUAUCUAAUAUAGAUGGCAGUAUCUUAUUGUUUUACGUCGUGUGAAUGUUAAUACCACGACGUCAUAUUAAAAUACCGUCGUCUAUACAAGAUUCAAAAACUUUCUUUCUUGGCCUUGUAUUUUAUCAAAUUAGAAAACAAAAACCAUGGUUCAGAAAAAUCAAAUCUGCAAUCAAACAUUCACAGAGAAAGAAAGAAGGGUUUUGGAUCCCUAUAUAGACGACGGUAUAUUACUACUGACGUCGUGUGAACAUCAAUACCACGACGUUAUAUAAAUAUUCCGUCGUUUAUAGUUAAUUAUCACGUCGUUUAUAGUUAAUUAUUUCGUCGUUGUUUAAUUACUUUGGUUUAAACAUUUAUUACGUCUGAUAUUAUUUCAUUGCGUCGUUUAAAAUCAUAUCAUAUGUCGUAUUUUAUUAAUAACCGUCGUUUGUGUUCUUAAUCUUUUCUUGAAAUAUUUUCACUUGCAGUUUUGUCUGUAAAAAUGGUUUCUCACCAAGACCAAAGUAAGGAUUCUGGCUCCAAGAAAAAUGGAGGUAAUGAGCUUGGAAUGGUACCUCCUCAAGAGAAGUCUUCGAAGAUAAUGAAGUCUUCGAAGAAGAUGAAGUUUGCUUCAUGAUCUGCUGAUACAGAACCAACCAGCGCGACAACAAUCUCUGAUGAUUCAAAGGCUGGUCGAGGUAUGAGCACAAUGCCUCGUGUUGUGAAGAGAAAACUUCAGAAACUGAGGGGAAUGCUCCGAUGGGAGAUGCCCCGAGAUCCGGUUANNNNNNNNNNNNNNNNNNNNNNNNNNNNNNNNNNNNNNNNNNNNNNNNNNNNNNNNNNNNNNNNNNNNNNNNNNNNNNNNNNNNNNNNNNNNNNNNNNNNNNNNNNNNNNNNNNNNNNNNNNNNNNNNNNNNNNNNNNNNNNNNNNNNNNNNNNNNNNNNNNNNNNNNNNNNNNNNNNNNNNNNNNNNNNNNNNNNNNNNNNNNNNNNNNNNNNNNNNNNNNNNNNNNNNNNNNNNNNNNNNNNNNNNNNNNNNNNNNNNNNNNNNNNNNNNNNNNNNNNNNNNNNNNNNNNNNNNNNNNNNNNNNNNNNNNNNNNNNNNNNNNNNNNNNNNNNNNNNNNNNNNNNNNNNNNNNNNNNNNNNNNNNNNNNNNNNNNNNNNNNNNNNNNNNNNNNNNNNNNNNNNNNNNNNNNNNNNNNNNNNNNNNNNNNNNNNNNNNNNNNNNNNNNNNNNNNNNNNNNNNNNNNNNNNNNNNNNNNNNNNNNNNNNNNNNNNNNNNNNNNNNNNNNNNNNNNNNNNNNNNNNNNNNNNNNNNNNNNNNNNNNNNNNNNNNNNNNNNNNNNNNNNNNNNNNNNNNNNNNNNNNNNNNNNNNNNNNNNNNNNNNNNNNNNNNNNNNNNNNNNNNNNNNNNNNNNNNNNNNNNNNNNNNNNNNNNNNNNNNNNNNNNNNNNNNNNNNNNNNNNNNNNNNNNNNNNNNNNNNNNNNNNNNNNNNNNNNNNNNNNNNNNNNNNNNNNNNNNNNNNNNNNNNNNNNNNNNNNNNNNNNNNNNNNNNNNNNNNNNNNNNNNNNNNNNNNNNNNNNNNNNNNNNNNNNNNNNNNNNNNNNNNNNNNNNNNNNNNNNNNNNNNNNNNNNNNNNNNNNNNNNNNNNNNNNNNNNNNNNNNNNNNNNNNNNNNNNNNNNNNNNNNNNNNNNNNNNNNNNNNNNNNNNNNNNNNNNNNNNNNNNNNNNNNNNNNNNNNNNNNNNNNNNNNNNNNNNNNNNNNNNNNNNNNNNNNNNNNNNNNNNNNNNNNNNNNNNNNNNNNNNNNNNNNNNNNNNNNNNNNNNNNNNNNNNNNNNNNNNNNNNNNNNNNNNNNNNNNNNNNNNNNNNNNNNNNNNNNNNNNNNNNNNNNNNNNNNNNNNNNNNNNNNNNNNNNNNNNNNNNNNNNNNNNNNNNNNNNNNNNNNNNNNNNNNNNNNNNNNNNNNNNNNNNNNNNNNNNNNNNNNNNNNNNNNNNNNNNNNUGCAUCGUCAGUCAUUGCUGUAUAAUAAUGAGGUUUGUCAUCUAAAAUAAUACGUCGUUGGUUUAUUAUGCGUCGUCUAACUAACUAAACCACGUCGUUAGUAUGUACCGUCGUGAUAAAUAUAUUAUAACGUCGUUGUCUAUUUCAGUACGUCGUGUGAAAUUUUAUAAUACGUCGUUUUGUUAUACAUAACCGUCGUGUGUUUUUUUGUAUAUAUGAGGUUUGUCAUUCUAAAAUAAUACGUCGUUGGUUUAUUUAUUGCGUCGUCUUAACUAACUAACCACGUCGUUAGUAUGUACCGUCGUGAUAAAUAUAUUAUAACGUCGUUGUCUAUUUCAGUACGUCGUGUGAAACCUUAUAAUACGUCGUUUUGUUAUACAUAACCGUCGUGUGUUUUUUUUGCGCUGACUUGUUUAUAUUAUUUUAUAUAUUUAGGUACUUACACGAUGUUUUGAAACAAUCAAAUAUGUGCACAAUGGUUGGCUUUAUCGACCCUGCUACAGUUAGUGCCAGCUCUGGCACAAUAGCUGACAGAUCACGCCUACUAGCAGCUCGACUUCAGAGGACUGACGGUGAACAGAUUUUCCUGAUGCCUUACAAUCCAGGGUUAGUCUCCUUAACAAGAUUUUGUUUUUAUGAUUUUCAAUAAAUGACAGCGUAUAAACUAACCACGUCGGUGUUUUAUUUUAUUGAGUCGUUUGAAACUACUAACCACGUCGGUAGUUAUUUAUCGUCGUGAUAAAUAUAUAAUGUCGUCGAUUGCUACUUUAUUUCGUCGUGUGAAAUAUUAUAAUACGUCGUUUUUGUAAAUAACCGUCGUUUUUAUAUUAAUUUUAUGCAGCCGUCAUUGGAUCUUGCUGAUUGUAAGAGCAAAGAGAGAAACCGUCUAUUUUCUGGAUCCUCUGCCAGGAAAUCGUGUGGUCGAUGAAGAGGCCAAAAACAUCGUGAACAGUGCUAUAAAAAUUUAUAAUUCUCACAUAGCCAGACCAGGCCGUAAGGCAGUAAUUUGGAAAACUCUGUCAGGCACACCAAAGCAACCCAGCAAUGUCGAAUGCGGGUAUUAUGUGAUGCGCUUAAUGAGGGACAUCAUCAUGGAUCCUUCCUUGGGGUUUGAGAAGAAGGUAAGAAGAAAUUACCUUCUUACAUUUUACGUCGUUUUUUGUAUUAUCAACGACGGUCAUGUAAAAUUACCGUCGUUGAAUAGAUAUACUACGUCGGUUAUGGUCGUCUGUGAUUGAAUUUCCUUUUAUUUAUAAACCCUAAUAGUCAUUGUUUAUGCAGUAUGCCAAGGGAAAACAGGAAGAGCCAUACCCCCAAGAAGCAAUUGAUGAAGUCCGGAAUGAAUGGGCAGAGUUUGUUUGCCUUCACCUGGAAUAGGGGAAUUAUUGAACACUUGAUAUUUAUGUAUAAUGUACAAAUUUUGUGUAUAAUAUAUAAUGUAAAAAUUUGUUGAGGUUUUCUUAAAUUAAAAAAAAAACAAACAUACAAAUUGCGUAACCGACGUGUAAUACUUUUCCAACGACGUAAUAAAGUCAAAAGCCGUCGUUUUUUGUUGUUUCGUUUUAAACAAAUCCGACGUAAAAGGAUAUUUAGACGACGUUCUUUGAACAAUUGAGUCGUUUAUGGUUUACAACGUCUUCAAUUUCUUAAGGGUUCAGGGUAGUACUUUGUAACGACAGCGGUUAAGUCGUGGAAUAUAUAUUUUACGUCGGAUAGUUAAAUAUCCGCCAUGGUUUCUCAUUUAAACGACGUCAUUUUAACAACUUAGUCGUCUAUUACAAUUUACAACGUCUACAAUUUAUUAACACCGACGUGGUUUGUUGUUGUGAUAAGAAUAUUUUAUUAUUUUUAUAUCAAAAUAUUCAAAAUAAAUUUAAAAUAAAUCAGAAAAAUGCAAAGUCAACUCCUAUGAAGUCAUUGAUAUAUUUUCUUCCCCCUAAACCUUGAAAAAAUUUAUUUUGAAUAACAAAAAUUUAAAAUGACCAUCCAAAACAAAAUUGUUUUGAUGAGUCAUAAAAUCACUUCUAGUUUUAUGGUUUAGGGUUUAGAGUCUAGGGUUUAGAGAUUAGGGUUGUUAUUUAUUGGGGUUUAUUUUUAAAGUAUAAUUUUUGGGUAGUCUAGGGUAUAUAUUAGGCUGUAAAACCAUAAACCCUUUUAUAAACUUAAUUUUUAAAAUUAUAUAAUUUAGUUUUAAAGGUUUAGGGUAUUAAUUAUUAACGACGGUGGUUGAGUCGUGGAAUACAUAUUUUACGUCGUGCAGUAAAAUAUCCGACAUGGUUUCUACUUUAAACGACGUCAUUUUAAUAUGUAAGUCGUCUAUUACAAUUUACAACGUCUACAAUUUAUUAACACCGACGUGGUUUGUUGUUGUGAUAAGAAUAUUUUAUUAUUUUUAUAUCAAAAUAUUCAAAAUAAAUUUAAAAUAAAUCAGAAAAAUGCAAAGUCAACUCCUAUGAAGUCAUUGAUAUAUUUUCUUCCCCCUAAACCUUGAAAAAAUUCAUUUUGAAUAACAAAAAUUUAAAAUGACCAUCCAAAACAAAAUUGUUUUGAUGAGUCAUAAAAUCACUUCUAGUUUUAUGGUUUAGGGUUUAGAGUCUAGGGUUUAGAGAUUAGGGUUGUUAUUUGUUGGGGUUUAUUUUUAAAGUAUAAUUUUUGGGUAGUCUAGGGUAUAUGUUAGGCUUUAAAACCAUAAAACCUUUUAUAAACUUAAUUUUUUAAAUUGUAUAAUUUAGUUUUAUGGGUUUAGGGUAUUAAUUUUUAACGACGGUGGUUGCGUCGUGGAAUACAUAUUUUACGUCGUACAGAAAAACAUACGACAUGGUUUACGCUUUAAACGACGUCAUUUUAAUAUGUAAGUCGGUUUAUAUAAUUUACAACGUCUUUAAUUUCUUAACACCGACGUAGUUUUUCAGUCGUCGUUAUAUAAAAAAUUCAAAAUAAAUUUAAAAUUAAUCCGAAAAAUGAAGCUUCAAAAUGAACGGCCUUACGUUCUUAAUUCGAAAAAUGAAGUUUCCGUCGUGGAAUAUUAAAUUUACGUCGGUACUUGUAGAACUUUCGCCUUGAUUUUUCUUUCGACGUUUUAAAACGCGCGAGCUCUAAAAAUUUUCGCGCGACCUAAAGUUUUUUUAGAUUUGGCUCUUAUUCUUAUACUUCGAACCCUGAAACCUAAAAUUUUCAGAUUUCGCGCGACAUAACAUUUCGCUCUCUCACUUCUGCUCUAAUUAAAAGUUGCACUCUCUAGGCUCCGUCGAAUCUGUGAGCUCGUCCAACCUGUAAGUACAAACCCUAUCUUCCCCUUGUAAAUUCAUUGAAUGAUAUUAGGUUGUUUUGUUAAAGGGUUUUAGGUAUAUGCUUUGCGAUCUGUUAAUAAUGUGCUUAUAGGUAUGGGUUCAUGGAUUUUCUGUUUAAUGGGUUCAUGGAUUUUCUGUUUAAUGGGUUCAUGGAUUACAUUAUCUGUUAUGUUGAAUUGGGAAUGGAUUUAAUUUUGUCGGAUCUUUUAAUCACCCUAUGUUAUGUUGAAUUGGGAAUGGAUUUAUUGUUUUCAUGCUUGGUUUCAUGUAUAUGUUGGUUUCUUGCUUGGUUUCAUAUAUAUGUUGUGUUCUUAAUGGGUUUUGGGUUCUUGAAAAUAAACUGAGACACGACGCCUUUUUAGGCAUACGACGACGAUUACACGACGGUUUCUUUAACUACCGUCGUUGUAUUACUUAUACACGACGGUUUUUUCAUAAACCGUCGUUUGUAUUACUUAUAUUAGACGACGUCUGUUGGAAAUCCGUCGUCUAUAUAUGCCAAAUACGUCUAUUUUUGUUUAAAACCCGUCGUCUCUGUUGUGUAUUACUUGCUAUUAGAUCUUUGUAUAAUCUGCUAUAGUGAUGGUCAUUGCCUGUAUUUUCACUUUAUUAUAGAUAAUAGGUUAUAGUGUCGGAGAUGGAUAAGUCAUGGAUGUACUCGGAUAGAAGAUCGAAGGCAUAUGAGUUUGGGGUGGAAGCAUUUUUGAACUUUGCUGUAGAAAAUCUUCUAACUACAACACAUAUCCGUUGUCCAUGUGUUAAAUGUGUUAAUUUGAAGUUGUUUGGGGUUGGAAUUAUAAGGGAUCACUUAUACUUUAAUGGAAUUGACCAAAGCUAUAAGAAUUGGACAUUUCACGGAGAACCUUGGGAAGCAACUACUAAUGCUAGUAGAAAUGUUGAAGAAGAUGAUGGCCAUAGUAGGUACAGUUUUGUGUCUGAAGAAAUUGAUAUGGAUGAUAAUGAUUUUGGUGAUUUUGGUUCCGAUCCGUAUGAGUUUGCCAAUGUGAUUGGAGAUGGAGAUCAACCAGUGUACCCUGGUUGUAGAAAGUACACGAAGUUAUCGGCAUUAGUGAAGUUGUAUAAUUUGAAGGCAAAACAUGGGAUGAGUGAUGUCUGUUUUACAGAAUUAUUGAUACUUCAAGGCGAUUUGCUUCCAGAAGGAAAUACAAUACCAACCUCUAUGUAUGAGGCUAAAAAGACUUUGUGUGCAUUGGGGCUGAGUUAUGAGAAAAUGCACGCAUGCCCCAAUGAUUGCAUCUUGUAUAGGAAGGAGUAUGAGGAUUCAACUAAUUGUCCUACUUGUGGUAUCUCAAGGUGGAAGGAAGGCAAAGAUUCAAUCUUGAAAGAGGGUGUGCCAGCGAAGGUGGUGUGGUAUUUUCCUCCAAUUCCAAGGUUUAAAAGGAUGUUUCAAUCACAUGAGACAGCUAAGAGUUUGACUUGGCAUGCUGCUAGAAAAUCAAUUGACGGUCAGAUGUCUCAUCCGGCGGAUUCCCCGUCUUGGAAACUUCUUGAUGAUAAAUGGCCUGAGUUUGGUAAUGAGCCGAGAAACUUGAGAUUGGCUCUUUCAUCUGAUGGAUUCAAUCCCCACAGUUCUCUAAGUAGCAGAUAUAGUUGUUGGCCGGUUAUCUUAGUUACAUAUAAUCUCCCUCCAUGGCUGUGCAUGAAACGAAAGUUCAUGAUGUUAACCUUAUUGAUUUCCGGUCCUAAACAACCCGGAAAUGAUAUAGACGUCUACUUGGAGCCUUUGAUUGAUGAUUUAAAAUCUUUAUGGGAUGGGAUUAGAGGAGUGUAUGAUGCACAUAAUGGAGAAUACUUUACACUCAGAGCUGCAUUAAUGUGGACAAUUAAUGAUUUCCCCGCCUAUGGAAACUUAUCUGGUUGUGUUGUUAAAGGAUAUAAAGCUUGUCCAAUAUGCGGCGAUGAUACACCUAGUCACAGGUUGAAAAAUGGCCACAAAAUUUGUUACAUUGGGCAUAGAAAAUGGUUACCAAUCAAUCAUCCAUAUAGGAGGCAACGUGCAGCUUUUAAUGGGAAACCUGAAUAUGGCAUACCUCCCGAGCCAUUAACCGGAGAAGAAGUGCUGCAUAUGGUUGAAAAUGGUGACAGAGUUUGUUGGAAGAAGAAAUCAAUAUUCUUUGAUCUCGAGUAUUGGAAAUACCUUCCUGUGAGGCAUGCCCUAGAUGUUAUGCACAUUGAGAAGAAUGUUUGCGAUAGUAUCAUUGGUACAUUGCUGGAGAUCCCUGGAAAAAAUAAAGAUGGGGUUGCUGCUCGAUUAGAUUUAUUGAACAUGGAGGUCAAAACUGAUUUGCAACCCGGGUAUGGAGAAAGACGUACUCGUUUGCCUCCUGGGCCUUGGAAUUUGUCAAGAGCAGAGAAGAGAGAGGUUUGCAAUUCUUUCUAUGGUAUGAAGGUCCCUGAAGGUUAUUCUUCAAAUAUUAAAAAUCUUGUAUCUUUACAAGAUUCAAGACUUCUUGGCCUUAAAUCACAUGAUUGUCAUACCUUAAUGCAACAAUUGCUCCCUGUGGCAAUUCGUUCUGUUUUGGAGAAGCCUGCAAGGUAUGCAAUAACUCGUUUGUGCUUCUUCUUCAAUGCUAUAUGUGCAAAGACUGUUGAUGUUUCCAAGCUAGAUAAGUUGGAAGAAGAUGUAGUAGUUACUCUGUGUUUGCUUGAGAAGUACUUUCCCCCUUCAUUCUUUGAUAUCAUGGUUCAUCUAGUAGUACAUCUUGUCAGAGAAGUUCGUCUAUGUGGGCCAGUAUAUUUUAGGUGGAUGUAUCCGUUUGAAAGAUAUAUGAAAGUGCUGAAGGGGUAUGUUCAGAAUCGUACUCGUCCCAAAGGUUGCAUUGCUGAGCGGUAUAUAGCUGAAGAAGCGAUAGAGUUUUGUACUCAGCAUUUAUCUGAUGUUAGUACAGUUGGAGUGCCUUCAAGCCAAAAGAUGGGACUUUCAAAGCCAUUAUCAGGUUGCACAGUGAGCGUAGUUGAUCAGGACCUGUUGAAUCAAGCACAUCUAUAUGUCUUGGAGAAUACGGAGGAAGUCUUACCUUAUAUCGAGUACGUAUGAGUUUUAUUCUUUACGUUUCCAUUUUAAAUUAUUUCUUAUGUUUAUCUUCUAUAUUUGGGACCGUAAUGCUUGAAUUUUUCGUGUCAUGUAGGCAACAUAUGAUCCACAUCAAGACUGCUUAUCCAAAAUUUAGAAAGAGAACAAAGUGGCUGCAGGAUAAGCACAAUAGCACUUUCAUUCAAUGGCUACGCUUCAAGGUAUAUGUUGUUGAAUAACAUAUUUCUCUUUUAAUUUUCUUCUUAUUUAUAUGUUAGAUUGAAUUAAGACAUGAUUAAUUUGCAGGUUCAAAGUGAACUUGAGGAAGACAAUCAUGGCGUAUCAGAAAAUUUAAGGUGGCUAGCAGCUGGUCCAAACAUGUCAGUGCCAUUAUAUAGGAGCUAUCUUAUUAAAGGUAUUAAAUUCAAUAUCAAGGCACAAGAUGAUGUGCGGACAACUCAAAAUAGUGGAGUUUAUUUACUUGCACAUACCAUGCAAGUUGCUAGUGCCAAGGAUAAAAACCCAAUUCUCUCAAAUAUGGGUUUCUAUGGUGUCAUUCAAGAAAUUUGGGACCUUGACUACCAAAAGUUUACAAUCCCAGUCUUUAGGUGUGAUUGGAUAGAUAGUUCUGGUCUUGUAGUCGACGAACUUGGAUUUACCCUUGUAGAUUUGAGUAAAAUUGGACAUAGGAAUGACCAAUUUGUUUUGGCUUCUCAAGUCAAACAAAUAUUUUUUGUUGACGACCCAAUGCAUCGUGGUUGGUCGGUAGUGUUAUCAAUGCCUAAUAGAGAAUAUAAUGAUGUUAUUGGUGAUGAAGUCUUAGGUGAUGUGAUAAUUGAGUGUGAGCCAUUUACUAGAGGGAUGCCAAAUGUUGACACAUUUGAUGAACUGGUGGGUGAGUUAGGCGGUCAAAAUAUUCGAGAUGGGUGUGAAGAUAUAUGGAUUGAAUGAUGCUUAUGUAAUUGGCAGUGUAUGACAUUAAUUUUGUAAUAUAUUGUAAUGUGAUUUCUUCACUUUCUACGUUCAAAUAAAACACGACGUUAUUGUGAACCAGUUAUUCAGCAUAUUUACCGACGUCUUAAAGCAACGUAACAAUGAAGAACCACGACGCUAUUGUGAAGCAAUUAUUCAGGAUAUCACGUCGGGGAAGGAUUAAGAACCGCCAUGUAAUUCAAAAUAACACGACUCCAAUCCCAUAAUACCGACGUCUAAAAAACGAGAUAUAUAAUCUGAACGUUAAAAAAUACGACGUCAUCAUACAUUUUCCACGUCGCAAGUUCUUUUAUAAACGAAGAGGAACGAAAUGAAUUCCGACGGUAAUUCAUCAUAACCGCCGUCUAAUAUCAAUUAAACGACGUUAUUUGUAAUACGGCUCUCAUCAUAAUCAACGCCGUCUAUAUGUUCUGUAAUACGGCUCUCAUUUAUUUGGAACCGACGUUGUUUAGAAGUUCAACGUCGUCUAUAUUAAUAAGUGCGUCGUGAGUAAUGAAUACAUAUAAAUACAACGUCGACUAUAUACAUGCCACCGACGUUGUUUCGAAUUUCAACGUCAACUAUAUAAAUACAUACGUCGUAAAUAAUGACACUGACAACUAUUUCCACGUCAUCUUUUUUAGAAAAAUCGAAGUGGAAAAUUUAUUUCACGACGGUUGUUUGUAAAUAAGAGACGUAGUAGAUUUCAAUAACGUCGUCUUCUCAUGUAUUUAAAGACGUCAUAUUUUUUCUUGUCGUGAAAAUUAUAUUUAACGGCGUAGUGUUUUAGUUGUUGUCGUUGUAUGUCUAUCUUGCGGCCUUGUUCUUUUAAUAUGUGUCAUAUUUUUCCUUUUUAACGACGGUGAUUUGUUUGAGUUGGUCGUCUAUUCUCAUCCUCGACUAUUUUUUAGAACUUUAGCAGACUAAACACGUCUGUUUUUAUUUGUUUUCGACGUUGUUUUAUUUAACAACGUCUAAUAUUUAUCGUCGUUGUUUGUUUCUGAAAAUAGGACGUAUAAAUUUUGUAAUACGACUCUCAUAUAUUUGUAACCGACGUUGUUUCGUCGUUCAACGUCUACUCUAUAAAUACAUACGUCGUAAGUAAUGACACUGACAACUAUUUCCACGUCAUCUUUUAUAGAAAAAUCGAAGUGGAAAAUUUAUUUUACGACGGCUGUUUUUAUAUAGGCGACGUAGUAGGUGUCAAUAACGUCGUCUUCUAAUGUAUUUAAAGACGUCAUAUUUUUUAUUGUCGUGAAAAUGAUAUUUAACGGCGUCUUAUUUUAUUUUUCGUUGUUGUAUGUCUAUCUUGCGGCCUUGUUCUGUUAAUAUGUGUCAUAUUUUUCCUUUUUAACGACGGUUUUUUUAGAGAGUUGGUCGUCUAUUCUCAUCCUUGACUGCUUUUUUAGAUCUUUUUGCAGUACAAAGACGUCGUUUUGUAUUUGUUGAUGACGUUGUAUAUUUUAACAACGACGGUGAUUUAGCGUCGUGGUUUAUGAGGGAAAAGAUGACGGUGGAUUCCACGACCAUUGAAAAACCGAAUACACGACGGUGAUUUACCGUCGUCUUUUUGCUUUUUUGUAGUAGUGGGGGUGUGGGCGCAAGGCCACCAGGCUGCCUAAAUGGUUAGGGGUUAGCCUUCAAAUUUGGCUAUCAUGUUGUUUAAUCACUUCUAUGGAAGCAUACCAUCACAAUUAUGCCAUCUAACACACAUUCAAAUUUUGGAUUUUUUCGAUGAAGAACAUGUCUAGAACUAUACUUAAAUGCCUAAACAAUUUAACUGCUCUGGGUCAAAAAGGAAAUUCAAGUUUAACCAUCACUUGUACCUAUACAAGUGAUUAUGGAGAUGGGACUUUAUCUGAGUAGUUAUGAUGAUGAAGCAUCCUUAAUAUAGAAAGGAAUAAUGUGCAAAUACAAAGGUACUCUUGGGUCUUGUUGGGUUAGUUUCUUUAAAUCUUUCAAAAAACUUUUUAAUAGGUCAAAUUAUUCCGGAGAUUGGAAACAAGAAACGAAAUACAUGGUAGAAUUCCACAAGCCUUUCUCAGAUACAUGGUCUUGGUGUCUUGGAUUUACAUAGGGGUUGGGUUUCCGUGAAGGCAGCUGUACAGAAGUUUCCUUUGACAUUUUUGAACUACAUUUCAGAUAAUGAACAAUAUCUACAAAACCAUGUUUCACUUCAAUUUUAGCACGAUUUCGUGACUUAUGGAAAAAUGUCUGUUGUAUUUAAGUCCUAACUAAUUAGUAAGUUAAUAUGACGCUAACCAAUCAUUUUAGUUCAAUCUACAAUAUAUCUCUUUAUCCCUUAUUUAGUGAAAGACCAUAUUGAUAAAAAUUCAUCCUAAUGGAAGAGCAUUUAGCUAUCUAACUAUGAUCAAAUGAAUAAAUGAACACAAUGUUUUUACUAAACAAGGAAAUUCUUUUGAUAAUAACUGAGUGAUGGGUUCCGAUUUGGAUGAAAUUUUGAGACAUAAUCUUUGCCCAACAAUUUAAUGGUUCUCGCCGUUCAAGACUACUUGUCAUGUGCUCAUUGGGUCCACUAAAACCCAUGUCAAUAAGCCGUGGAAACUUUUUAAACGGUGUCGUCGUGACCCUAAUCAAUGCAUGAUGAGGUGCGGAUCCCAUUCCCGCGUUGUGCAGGUGUUUUCAUCUGACUACUUUGAGUCUUUUCGACAUGUAAUUACUGGAGUUCUUACUCCAAAUAACAGAUAUUGUACAAACUCGAAUGUGUUGGUCAAUUUGUGUUCCAGACUGAUUUCUUGUGGCCCUAAAAAAAUUCUUGUAUAGAGAGAGCUAGAGGAAGGGGAUGAGCUAGCUAGAGAAACUCAUCAUUUUUAAAGAAUUCCAAUUAAUGGCUGUUAUAAAGGAGUUGCUCACUAUCUUUUAUUUUUAAGUUCUUAGGUGAAUGAGACUGCUUAUAAGUGAUUAUGGAUAUGAGAGUAAAAAUCUGAGAGUACUAUGGAAAGAAGUAAUGUCAAGCAAUCCCUAGUUGAGAAUCCCACAUUGAAGGAUGGACGUUAUGCAAUAAUGCUUUAAAGAUUUUAGGCCUCUUUAUUUAGUGCAAAUUAAUUGAAUCAUAUGCAUUUUAGUAUUUAACAACAUGCUUUCGACAUCUAAUGGUGAUCAAAUAAUUGGACAAAUACAUGGAGAUGAGGCAUUUUUAAUCAAGCUAUGCGAGUCGUAAGUCUUUCAAACAUUAAUUUACUCUAAUAACAAAAUUUAUAAAUAAUAAAUUGCAAUUAAAUUGUAGUACUAAAUCUUAUUAAACCAUAAUAAUCUAUUAAAUAUAGGUCCAUGUUAUAAUAUUAGGGUUAUAGACCCACAUAUACUAUAACUUACUAGGUCCAUGUUAAUAUAUUUAUUUAUUUAUUUAUAAAAAGAUAAAAGAGAAAAAAGGGUAAGUAACAUUGUGGGGCGUUAAAGGCUGUUUAGUGGGGGCGUCAAACAAAAAAAAAGGCAUUUAAAAAAAUAAAGAACAAAGGCAUGUUAAAAUGUGCAUUUAACUUAAAACUCAGUUCUUGAUCUCCCUUCCCUAUCGGGUAGGGGUCUAGAUUAAGAAUCAAAGAGUUGGUAUUUGGAAUUUUUACUGGCUAUGUUUUAAUGCUUAUGAUAUGUUAUUCUAUACAUUUAAUUAUGUGUGCAUAUGAGUUUUUCUUUAAGAGUAUUACGUUGUAGUGGGUUGUUCUUUGAGGGGCUUGGAGUUGUGCUUUGUUUUGUAUGUUUAUUUCGGGUUCUCUGUAGUGGUCCAAAGUGGCAUGUGUUGGACUAUCUUGUUAGUCAACGGCAUUUGUGGUACUCUUUCCUACUUUAGGAUUUGUUCCAAGUGGAUUUCCUAGGAAGGUUUUAACGAGGCCACUGCUCUCGUGCCAAUUUUUAUAUGUCUUUUGGUUUAUGAAUUAAAUUUUAUUCUUAAAAAAAAAAAAAAAAAAAAAAAAAACAACUUACUAUAUGAAACGACGUUGUUUCAUUGAAGCAAACCUAAAAAACCAACUUUCACGUGACUGCAUCUUCUUCCUUGUGAUGCGGCUUGCAUAUCACAUAAUGACGUCGCUGCACGUUGACAUGCAUCACCCCGCCUCGCCACACUAAACAUGUAGUAAGCUGUUGAGGCCCAAAAAAUCCAGGGUUGGGCUCAAAUAAAUUCCUGGCCCAGUGCUACACCUCUUUAAGAAAAGACCCGGCACAGAGCACGCGGAAUUCGUCAUGCACGCUUUUACGAGCCACGACCACGUGCCAUGCCAAAUAAAUAUGCAAUUCAUCACGCUAAGAAUUAAAAUGAGCCUAUAAAAGGCACUGGCUCUACAAGCCCAUGCUAAUUAUUCUGUCAAGCAUCAUGUCUCUUUUCAAAGGCGAGAAAGUGGGUUGUGGUAUGGAUGGUAACGAGUUUUCAUGAGGCCCAUUGAUGAGCCAAGAAAUGGAAGUUUUAGGCUGCUUGGGAGCCCCAAAACUCAAGCCCAUUCUUUGAGCCCAAAUAUGCGGGUAGGCAUAAAACAGAGAAGAAUUAGCCCAAUACUCUAGAAAAAUUGGCCCAUCACCUUUAUAAAAUAGCAUAUCACCUUAAUAAGAUAGCCCAUAACUUUAGGAAAUUAGCCCAUUCUCUUAAUGCGCUAACCCAUCACCUUAGGAAAGCCUAAGCAACCAAUAAGAAAAUAUCUGCAAUCUCCAGCACAUGGCUGGAGACAAAAGCUUCGACAAAAGCUUCGACAAAACCCAAAGCUACCUAUGUAUGUGAACUGCAGGGAGGCUCCAGCACGUGGGCAAAGCAAACCUCAAGAUAGAUAGUUCCAAAAACUAGAGGAUAUUGGCGCGCGCAGGAGAAAAGGCAGCCUUCAGACCAGCCAAGGUUAUCUAUCUCCUUCCUUUACCAAGCCGCCCUCUGGGGUACCCUUUGGUACCGGAUUCAAAGGAUUAGUGCACCAUCUUGCCAUGAAAUAGGGGAGGAAAGAAGGAGAGGUGAUAACCAAAGAUAGGAAAUCCCCACUGAAGCAGCUGCGGGAAAAGCCUUUAGAGUUCCCAAAAACCUUGUCUUGGUGUGUUUGGACAGAGAAAAAUUGCAUAAAAGAGGAUGAAUCGAAAGGAAAUAAUAAAAAGGGAAGGGGAGACUUGGCCAAAUUGGAGAGAAACCAUUAGGGUUUCUUGGAAUGGAGGAGCUUCCAGCGGCUAUAAAAAGGGUCACCUCCUACCCAACACACAACACACAUUUGGAGAGCAAGCUUUAUCUCUCACAUCUGAAACCUCUGCAAUUUCGAGCCCCAUCCUUCCAUCUCUCCCCAUUUUCCCUUCUGGUAAACUGUUCCAAAGCUUGACAGAGUUUUCGUCGAGCUGCCGAAAAGUACUCAACACACCCAUUAUACCCUCUCUGUCUCUCUCUCUCUCUCUCUCUGUCUCUCUCUCUUUCUUUUCAACAAACCUUCUUAGAAUCCCUUACCCCUUUCCUUAGAACCUCUGUAUCUUGUAGGAACUCACAGCUUUGUCUCUCUCUCUUUAAUGCUAAACUCAUGAUUGCUUUGCUCCCAUACCACAAACUUCUCAUGCCAAGCUAAGAAUCUACCUGUAAGCAACUAUUAGUUUUGCUGGUGAAAGUAACCAAGGUGCUUCCUAAGGCUCAGCUACCAUUUCGAAGCAUUCUCAGGGCCUAAUUCUUGAACUGAGACCUAGGGGCAAUUUUCUCUCAUUUGGUUCUUUACGGCAGCUCAGACUCGCAGUAACUGCUGGAACGAAAAAGCCCAUACAUCAUUUGGUUCUUUACGGCAGCUCAGACUCGCAGUAACUGCUGGAACGAAAAAGCCCAUACAUAAGCUAAACAAAUGAACGCAAGAGGCGAUUUCCAUUUGCCUCGCUUCGAGGCGCGCUUAGGCAUGCCUUUGAAAACAUUGUUUUACAUAAAGAAUAUGAUCUCAAUAGUUAAAUAUAUCAACAAUAAGAAUCAUAAUCCAAAGUCUGAGAAUCACGUAGGAGAGAUGCAUCCAAAGCCUGAGCAUGACGUAGGAGAGAUGAGUGGGACGUGAGAGAGAACGGAAGGGGAGUGAGGAAACAGUAGAAAUAGACUUCCAUCAAUUUUGGUAACAAUUAAAAAAAGAAUAACAAAAUUUUAAAUAAAAUUCUGCUAGCUAAUGUGCCCACAACAUCUUUGGAUUUAGGGGUGCAAGUUGGAAUGGAAAUUCCGAUUCCGACUGAUUUCAAUUCGAAAAUUUCCGAUUUUGGCGAGUCCAAAUCAAUUCCAACAUCCGAAUGUUCCGAAAUCCGAAAAUUCUCAACAAAAAAAAAAAAAAAAAAGAUUUGGAAUUGGAAUAUAUUUCAAGAUUCCGAAAAUUCCGAAUUUUGAAAUAUAUUGAACAUUCAAGCUUAAACUACACAUAAUGACUAGUUUCAUGUUGAAUUUGACAUGACUAUAACCAAACAGACAUAGCUAUUUCAUAAAGGAUAACAACAUAUAAGUGAUAGCACAUAAUAGUUUUUUUGAGCUUUUCCGUAUGAUUUUUCAAUUUUGAACAAAUUUUAACCUUUCAAAUUGUUAGAUAUCUUUUAAAUUGUCAAUGAUUUUUCAAAAAUUUCCAAAAAAAAUCUCAAAAUAUGUACCGAAAUAUUCGUUUUCUGAAUUAGAAUGGAUGUUGAAAUUUCAAAAUUUUUGGGAAUGGAAUUGGAAAAGAAUUCAUUCCAAAAAUUUUUGGAAUGAAAUUGGAAUCCCUUAAUUCUGAUUCGAUCAGCCCAAAAAUCUGCCCUAAUUGGAUUAAUAAGGAUCUAGAUUUUAGAAAUGUACACCUCUUCUAUAUUAGUUAAAUCUAACUAAAGAAAAAUAUUUUGAAAAAUUUGGUGCCUAAAAUUGUUGAUGUUAAAUUAUAGAUUGGGAAUUUGGAGUAAACCACAUUAUACUAAAAUGUAAUUGACAUAUAUAUAUAUAUAUAUAUAUAUAUAUCACUAAGCAACAAACACAAUUCAAUAUCCCUCACUCUACUCAAAACUAUGGGUUUAAAAAAUAAAAAUAAAAACGAACUAUACCUAAAAUGCAAUCUUACCCCAUGUACACAAUUUUACUUUUCUACUACUAGUACAACAUAAAUUAAUAUAUAAGGAGCUUGGUAUAACAUGUAUACUAUUCUACUACUAAUGCGACAAACUGUACUGCAACGAUCAUAUGAAUAAACGCAUGACAAUCGUGAAUGUACACACGUGUAUUGUUUUCUUUCUAAAAGCUUAAUUGAAAUCCGAGUUCAUUAUGAUGAAUAUGUUUUACGCAAAACCAUUAAUUCUUUCGAGUCUUUUAUCUUUCUCUCUUUUUCUUCAAGAGGCAUUUGAAGUUUAUAACCCGUCUGUUUUAGGGUAUAAUUGUUUCAAACAUAUAGAAUUUCUUGCCAAUGGGUACUUUGAGGAUUACUUGAAUAUGUUACUGACACGAACCUUAUCUGAAGAAAUUCCAAAUUCAGGAUAUUGAGGUGAAGUUAUAGGUGGCACAUUUGAAUUUGUGAAAGAAAACAAUACUUCUGAAUAUGGACUAGCACAAUGUUGGAAUUAUAUUCGAAAUGAUGAGCGUUACGCACCAUAUGAUGUAGCAUGGAAAAUUGUCUGAGUAGAGCAAGCCCACAACUUCAAAAGCUUUGCGGGAUCAGUUCUUUGGUAGAAUUGACACGAAUAACGCGCUUUAUGGGAUGAGUUCAAAAGUUGUUAAUAAUCCCAAGUUGAUUCAGGAUAAAGUUCAUGCGUUGCUCACCCGCUUAAGUUUUAAAGCUAUUAAUGGACCGUUGUACGCUAAUGGCAAGAUAAAAAUAUCACCAAAAGGGAAAAAUGUUUUUGGUACCGUUGAAUGUACUAAGGACCUUUCUGAAGUAAAUUGUAAGGAGUGUCUUGAUGUUGCAAUAACUGAACUUCAAGAUCGUAGUUAUGGAAUGAGAGGUGGACAUGUUUUUUAUGGCAGUUGUUACAUAAGAUUUGAAUUUCAUCGAUUUUACUAUUAAUGCGUUUGUUUUGUAGGAUGAACUUUUUAAGAAUGUCAUUCCUAGGGUAUGAGAUGAGAACUAAUGCAUACAAUACUGGUUAUGAAAGUAGUGUUGAGCUAGCUGUUGUCAUCAUAUAAACUCAUAUAGGGGUUGUUUUGAGCUCAGGCGCCACUGAGACAACGUGCUUCCUUUCUUUCGGUUGAAGAUGGCCCAUACGAUGGUUAAUUGCUACUAGCCCUUUUUUAGUAGUGCCUAUUUUCAUAGGAACUUAUUAAUUUGGAACUUCUUCUACUAUCAACUGUUUGGCAUAACGUUCUUGUUUCAUUUGCAUUUGUGCAGAUUUUAAUUGAAAUGAUAAUAUCUACCGCAUAAACCCUAGUUAUGUAAUAUGUAUUUAUUGUAUCGCAUGGUUUCCCUAUGAUUCUUGAAUGCUAUCUCAAUGUUGGUUGAAUGGAUAAUCCUUUGCCUUUAUUUACUUGAUUUUUAAUUUGAGGGAAGCUAAUAAUGAGAAGAGAAAUUUUUGCAUUUGAUAAUUGAGCAUAUAUAAUUACUGGCGGACUCAAGAAUUUUUCAACGAAUGUGCAAUUUUUAAAGGCACAAGACUUGAUCGAUGAAUAAGUUUUUAUAAAGAUUUGGAAAUCUCUCAUAAAAAAAAAAAAAGGCUUGGUGUACAGGGGACGAUAAAAAAAAAAGAUAUGAAUUUGAUGUUUUAUAAAGACUUCUUUUAUUUAGCUAAGAUGUUUUGUAAGGACUUGAAUGGAGUUCUCUUAUAAAAAAAUAAAUUUAAAAAAAAAAACAAAAAACAAGAAGACCUUGCGAUUGGAAUUUGGGUCACUGGCUUUUGCGAUUGGAACUUGGACGUUUUCUCAAUUGAAAACAAGAAGACAUGACACUGCGAUAGGAUAGCUUUGUUGACCUACUCAAUUUCUCAAUUGAAUUUUAAACGACUCCAAGGAAGACACGACAUGACACCACUUAUUGUCAUAGUCAGUACUUGCAUUAUGCGAAGACAAAUGACUACUUAGACUUCCACAUGAUGGAGUAAUUUUAAAGUCCAGACACAUUUUCCACCGUGAAACCGAACGACAUUGCAUCUAGAUCAACAUCAUUUCCCACCGUGAAACUAAGAAAACAUUCUCUCCCACCAAAACGACUUGACAUACUUUGGAUUCAAGAGUAAUGUUGUCUUGUCUUACAACUUGGUAUGCCAAUUAAUAUCAGUAGUGUUAAACCAUAUUUCAAUUUGCAAGCCUAAUUGGCAAUUCUUACAAGGAAACAUCAAUUACGUCCCACAUUCGACAUUGAAAAUAUUACAUACGUCAAUUACAUUUGUUCACCAUCAAGAAUCUCAGCAAGUGACGCGGUAAGAAUUCGUGUUGUUUGCAAAUAAUCAACUCAAAUUUUCAUUUAUGUUUACAAUAUUACAUGACAAGAGAAUCUUAACUAUCGUGUCACGCGAUGAGUGAUGCAGGCACAAAUGUAAAUAACUAAGCAAAUUCUUUCUCACAAGGGUUUCCAUCGAAUUCAAUAGUUCCAAGAUUUGAAAGACUAAUUCAAUUAUCAAGACAAGUUAACAUUUUGGUAUCCCCCCACUAUGAAAAUUCAAGUUGCGAAUUAGUCAAGUUUGGUUUAGACAAAAUGAAAAGCUUAGGCUACUUGUGAGAUCAUCGUGGACAGCCUUUUUCCUUUGACGCUAUAACGGGUGACAAAAUGUAGUGACAUAAGUUUCCAACAAUGCAUGUACCAUCAGUGGAAUAUAUUGCCACGCGACUGACUAAAUUGGCAUUACCCUGCAAAAAAUUAAUACCUGUUUUCUGCAGCCAAAUAGAAAGAUAUUUUCUUUUUCAUUAGGAAAAGCAUAGUUAGGUGGAAACUAAACUUGGCAAACGUUGUAGUAUUUGGCCAAAAACAAAAAUGGCUUGUGUACAAACAAGGACAAGGACAGGGUUGAAGUGGUCAUGCCCUCCUUAUAUUUUGAUUAUGAAAACAUUUGUUUAAAAUUUUUGAAAACCAUGUUAUGAAAAGAGAAAUUCUAACUCCGUCACGAUUUACAAAUUACUUUCACAAAUCAUAUACGCACCAAAUGGUUUCAAUUUCGCCAAUUUUUAGAGGCAAAGUGAUUUACUCAAUGUGAUUAUAUUCAAAGGUUUAUGAAAAAUAAAAUUUGAGCAACAAUCAAUGUCCAUCCAGUUUUUUCUUUUCUUUCUUUUCUUUAGCAAGACAUUUCUUCGACAAAUUGUAAACUUCAAAUUAAUAAUAAAAGUUAUUUCCUCUUUGUUUAGCUAAUAAUUAGCUUUUUUGCUAUACUUAUAUUUUUCUUAAGAAAGGGUAUCCAAAUUUGUGGCAUUUUCUAACAUUAGAAAGAAAAGUACCACUACACUAAGAUUGGGCUACUUGGUUUCGAUACGUACUAUCAGUAUAUAAACCCAUGCAAUUCCUUAGACAAAGCUCAUAUCUCUUGUGUCUGUAAAAGGAUUAAAGACUUAAGGUAAGAGAAGUCUAAUGUCCUCUCUCUUUCUCUCUCGUCUUACGUUUACUAUUCCAUAAUUCUAUCUGCAACAUAGAAACCACAGCCUCAAUCCGUCCAUCUCUCUCCAGGCUCCAGCUCUAUCUCUCUGUCUCUCUCUCAAUUAUUUCUCUCCCUCCCUCACUUCGAUGGCCAUAGUUGACCUCAGAAGGUGCUUCAAACACUAAUUGAAUGUGUUGGUCAAUUAGUGUUCCAGACUGAUUUCUUGUGGCCCUAACAAAAUUCUUGUAUAGAGAGAGAGAGAGAGAGAGAGAGCUAGAGGAAGGGGAUGAGCUAGCUAGAGAAACUCAUCAUUUAAAGAAUUCCAAUUAAUGGCUGUUAUAAAGGAGUUGCUCACUAUCUUUUAUUUUUAAGUUCUUAGGUGAAUGAGACUGCUUUUAAGUGAUUAUGGAUAUGAGAGUAAAAAUCUGAGAGUACUAUGGAAAGAAGUAAUGUCAAGCAAUCCCUAGUUGAGAAUCCCACAUUGAAGGAUGGACGUUAUGCAAUAAUGCUUUAAGGAUUUUAGGCCUCUUUAUUUAGUGCAAAUUAAUUUUGAGUUGGAUAAUCAUAUUUGAAUAAUAUGCAUUUUAGUAUUCAACAAUAUGCUUUCGAUAUCUAAUGGUGAUCAAAUAAUUAGACAAAUACAUAGAAAUGAGGCAUUUUUAGUUACUCUAUGCGAGUCGUAAGUCUUUCAAACAUUAAUUUAUUCUAAUAACAAAAUUUAUAAAUAAUAAAUUGCAAUUAAAUUGUAGUACUAAAUCUUAUUAAACCAUAAUAAUCUAUUACAUAUAGGAUGUUAUAAUAUUAGGGUUAUAGACCUCUAUAUACUAUAACUUACUAGGUCCAUGUUAAUAUAUUUAUUUAUUUAUAAAAAGAUAAAAGAGAAAAAAGGGUAAGUAACAUUGUGGGGCGUUAAAGGCUGUUUAGUGGGGGCGUCAAACAAAAAAAAAAGCAUUUAAAAAAAUAAAGAACAAAGGCAUGUUAAAAUGUGCGUUUAACUUAAAACUCAGUUCUUGAUCUCCCUUCCCUAUCAGGUAGGGGUCUAGAUUAAGAAUCAAAGAGUUGGUAUUUGGUAUUUUUACUGGCUAUGUUUUAAUGCUUAUGAUAUGUUGUUCUGUACAUUUAAUUAUGUGUGCAUAUGAGUUUUUCUUUAAGAGUAUUACGUUGUAGUGGGUUGUUCUUUGAGGGGCUUGGAGUUGUGCUUUGUUUUGUAUGUUUAUUAGGGUUCUCUGUAGUGGUCCAAAGUGGCAUGUGUUGGACUAUCUUGUUAGUCAACGGCAUUUGUGGUACUCUUUCCUACCUUAGGAUUUGUUUCAAGUGAAUUUCCUAUGAAGGUUUUAACGAGGCCACUGCCCUUGUGCCAAUUUUUGUAUGUCUUUUUGGUUUAUGAAUUAAAUUUUAUUCUAAAAAUAUUUAUAAAAAAAAAAAAAAAAAAAAAAAACUUACUAUAUGAAACGACGUUGUUUCAAUGAAGCAAACCUAAAAAAAACAACUUCCACGUGACUGCAUCUUCUUCCUUGUGAUGCGGCUUGCAUAUCACAUAGUGACGUCGCUGCACGUUGACACGCAUCACCCCACCUCACCACGCUAAACAUGUAGUAAGUUGUUGAGGCUCAAAAAAUCCAGGGUUGGGCCCAAAUAAAUUCCUGGCCCAGUGUUACACCUCUUUAAGAAAAGACCCGGCUCGGAGCACGCGGAAUUCGUCAUGCAGCUUUCACAAGCCACGACCAUGUGCCAUGCCAAAUAAAUAUGCAAUUCAUCAAGCUAAGAAUUAAAAUGAGCCUAUAAAAGGCACUGGCUUUACAAGCCCAUGCUAAUUAUUCUGUCAAGCAUCAUGCCUCUUUUCAAAGGCGAGAAAGUGGGUUGUGGUAUGGAUGGUAAAGAGUUUUCAUGAGGCCCAUUGAUGAGCCAAGAAAUGGAAGUUUUAGGCUGCUUGGGAGCCCUAAAACUCAAGCCCAUUUUUUGAGCCCAAAUAUGUCGGUAGGCAUAAAAGAGAGAAGAAUUAGCCCAAUACUCUAGAAAAAUUGGCCCAUCACCUUUAUAAAAUAGCAUAUCACCUUAAUAAGAUAGCCCAUAACUUUAGGAAAUUAGCCCAUUCUCUUAAUGGGCUAACCCAUCACCUUAGGGAAGCCUAAGCAACCAAGAAGAAAAUAUCUGCAAUCUCCAGCACAUGGCUGGAGACAAAAGCUUCGACAAAAGCCAAAGCUACCUAUGUAUGUGAACUGUUGGGAGGCUCCAGCACGUGGGCAAAGCAAACCUCAAGAUAGAUAGUUCAAAAAACCAGAGGAUAUUGGCGCGCGCAGGAGAAAAGGCAGCCUUCAGACCAGCUGUUGAGGCCCAAAAAAUCCACGGUUCAGCCCAAUUAAAUUCUCGGCCUAAUGCGAUACCUUACCGAGAAAAAAUUCGAUUUGGGCACGCGAAAGUUCGUCAUAUGCGCUUGCACACAUGCCACGCCAAGCAAAUAAGCAACACGCCACGCUACAAGCUUAAGUGGGCCCAAGCCACGCAAGAUGCCCGGGGCUUGCUUGAGUGGGUUGUGGUAUGGAUGGUAAUAAGUUGACAUGAGGCCCAUUAAUGGGUCGAGAAAUGGAAGUCCCGGGGUUGCUUGGGAGCCCCGGAACUCAAGCCCAUUUCGUAGGCCCAAAUAUGUGGGUGAGCAUAAAGAGAGAAAAAUAGCCCAUUACUUCAACCAAAAUAGUCCAUUAACUCAACCAAAAUAGCCCAACAAUUGAUGAAGUUAGCCCAUUCACUUGAUAAACCAACCUGUUGUCCUAGAAGGCCCAAGCAACUUAAGAAAAUAUCUGCAAAAUCUCCAGCACCUAGCUGAAAAUAAAAGCUACGAUGAAAGCCAAAAUAUCCAUGUGUGUAAGCUGCUGGGAAGCUCCAGCACAUGCGGGGAGCAAGUUCCAAGCAAGAAACAUUCAAGGAACCAAUGAAUAUUAGCCUGUGACCUGCCAGAAGCACUCUUUGAACCAGCAUGUAUAUCCACUUCCUUUCCUUCAUCAGAUCUGGCCAAGGAAGGAGGAAGGAAAGAAGAAGAAAAAUAGCUAAGAAUGGAGCCUCCUAUUGGAACAGCUGCGGGAAAAGGGGGUCUUGAGCUCCCAAAAUUCCUGAUUUUGUGCAAAUAGAUAGAGGCAAUUUCACUAAGAAAGGAAAGUCAAGGGAGGAGAGGAGAAGGGAAGGAAAAGCUUGGCCAAAAUGGAUAGAAACCAUUAGGGUUUCUUGGAAAACGAUGGCUUCCAGCGGCUAUAAAAGGAGCCUCUUCUAUCCAACCAAAAACAAACUCAGAUUCAGAGAGCAAGCUUUCUCUCUUACCUGCAAAAACCCAGCAAUUUCGUGCACUAUUCACCUUUCUUCUCCAUUUUCCUCUUCUGGCAGACCAUUUUCACAUCUGUCAGAAGUUUUGUCAAGCUGCCGGAAGAACAUUGUUCUUUCUUUCUUUCUUCUCAGCCAAAUCAACCUGCAAACCUCUUCUUCCUCACCUUAAACACUCCCAUUUCUCCCUAGGAAGCCAUAUUUUCCUCUUUGGUGCUAAACUCAUGCUGAUUUUGCUUCCAUGCCACAAGCCUUUCAUGCCAAGCUAAAAAAUUUAUCUGUAAGCCUCAAGAAAUCAUCUGUAAGCUGUUGUUAUUUUCAUUGGUGAAGGUAACCAAGGUGUUUCCUAAGGCAUCUCAGUCCUUUCGAAGCAUUCUUGGGGCUUGAUCUUCGAACUCAGACAAAGGGGACAAUUUCGUCAAUCUGCCUUUUACGGCAGCCCAGCCCAUUUAAGCUGCCGGAAGAAAAAAGCCCCUACAUAAAAUGGCGACUCUGCUGGAGAACAGGCCAUUACCUUCACCAAUGCCUCCAAGGAAGAAGAACAGAGCCAAGCUUAUCGUAGAAAUCCAAACACCACUGCUGGAAGAGCCAUUGCCAUAAGCAAUAAACCAAAGAAAAUAAAGAGAUAAGAACAUUCCCUCUUUCUUUUUCUUUUUUCCUUUUGUUGGCUAUCUACUUUGCAUGACAAGCAUAACAAGGGUUAAUGACAUGUGCCUUUUGGUUGUGUCUUAGAUCUCCAUUCUGAAGCAAAACCAAAUCUAGUAUAAGAGUUGGGGGCUUAGGCAAAUCCAUCAUUCAUGCCAUUGAAGCGGACUACACAUGCAAACUCCAAAAUACUUGGGGGCUUCGUGCCAAGCAAAUCUGUAAAAAAAAAAAAAAAGGAGUCAAAAUUUAGAUCCAAAUGACUUGGGGGCUUCCUGCCAAUUGAAAAAAAAAGUCAAGCACAAACACUUCAAAUUUCUCAUGCUAAACCAAGCUAUACCUCGGUUCCAAGAGUUUUGAUUCAACAUUAUUCACAUCUUCAACCAAGUCCAAGUUAUAUACAUUCAUUCAUCAUUGUUUCCACCACUUGCCUUAUUUUUUUUUCAAACCUUCUUAAACAUUCUUCAGGCACUUGCCUUAUUUCAAACCUUCUUAGCCCCUGCUCGAUUUCAAUCCAUUCUUAUGACAAUUAAACAACCUCAUUGCACCUUUAAAAGAACACUUGAAGUGACCUCAACGACUACCUUGUUCUUCUCAUGCUUUGGAACCUCUAUAUCAAGUCUGAAAAAAGAUACAGACGCUGGAGAGGUACUCAUGAAAAAAAAAAAAAACAGAGGUGCCGGAAGCAUAUUUUCUUACAUUCUUCCAGCUCCUACUUUACAAGCAAAGAAUUUCUGGCACUUGCCUUAUUUCAAAUCUUCUUAGCCCCUACCCUAUUUCAAACAUCAUGCUAGUGUAUAUGCUCCUUAAACCCCAAAAGCUCAAUUUAUCCUUGCAACAAUUCAACAAACUCAUUAUAUCUGUGAAAGUAACCAAAAACUCACCUUUAUUCUACAAGUUCCCAGCAAAUCAGUAAGAAGAUGGCAUUUCUCAUGCUUUGGAACCUCUCAAUCAAGCCUGAAAAAGAAACAAGGGAGUACGUUGGCCAGAUCAGAUGCUGGAAGGGAACUCGUAAAUGAAAAGGGGGCACUGGAAGCAUAAUCGCUAUUGAAGCAUAUUUUUUCCAAAGACAAGUUGCAAGAGACCAGAACUCACUUUCACGCUAUCAAAAUCCUAGAAAAUUAGACUUCUCAUGCUUUCUCAUGCUUUGGAGCUUCUAAACAAGAGAAUACGUUAGCCAAAAUCAGACGCCGGAAAGGUACUCAUACACAAAGGAAGGCGCUGGAAGCAUAAUUUUCUCAGAGUGCAAUCAAACUCAUCUAUCAAGCAUUUGACAAAAUUCACAGGGCAUGAUACCAAUCCACAUGCCAAGAAAUUUCAAUUCAUUCAAGCAUUCCGCGCAAUUCGGGCAUUCAAGCAAAUUGAAGAACUCAUGCUCUCACGACAAUAUUGCUCAAGAACAUGCUCUAGCAAUACUCAGAUCAGCACUCAAUGCUAACAGAAAGGACAUGCCAAAUUCUCAACAAAAACAGCAUGCCAAGCAAAAUUUAUACACAAAUUUUCCAACCAUUCUAGCUAGAACAUCCCACCUUUAGAAAAUCACUAUAAAUCAAGCUUACAACCAACAAAUCCCAGACUUUUCAGAUUAGAACUAGGCAUAUCAAGCUUCAUUUUUCCAAAAUUUCGUUGCAUUUCGAGCUAGGGAAGCCUGUCAAACAGAUUUCUAAAACAGCCCAUGCAGCAGCAACUGUACAGCUCCAGCAGCUUAACCCUUACUUUGAAAUUCCACCGAAAAUUCAUUUUUUCUUCAAGUGAUGCAAGACCUAUUCCGACAUAACCAUUGAGAAGUCCAUUUUCAUGUCUCAAAAGCUCCAACUCAGAUUCGAAAAGAAACAUUUCAAAAGUUCAAAAAACUGCCAGCAAGGUACUUUGAGAUAUUUUGACAAACACUUGGCAUGCAUACCCAAGUAAGCUUGCAUGACUCUUGUUUAUCACCAAGCUAGAAUCCUAGACUAAAAGCUCAACCUCAGAACCCGAUUUAUAGUUCACAAAUGCUGGGAAAUACAGAGGAACUCAAGCAUUCAAGCAUAGAGAAACAAGCAUGCAACAAAGGCAUCAACAUCAACUCAUGAACAUGCUUCAGAAAAAUGGAGGCAUAGAGCACUAGAAUGGGUGGAUGAUCCUCAAUUUUGGAUAUGUUAUAAACAACAUAAUUUCGAGAAAAUUUUGUGAAGCAAGCGCAAUCAUCCAAGCAUCAUAAGUUAAAGAUACAUGCAGAAGCAGAAUCUGCAGAAACUCACCAGCCAUGGAUGAACACAGAGGUUUCAGACCAGUUUUGAGGCAUCAGAAAACUUCAAAAAAUUCUACAAAUUUUACAGGCUAUAGUACUCAAGCAUAUGAAUAACUUUCAUCAAGGAAGUUUUCUGAUCCGAGCUUUUGAAAUAUGACUUAUGUACUAAUGCACAAUACCGACAGGUUUGGGUCUUGAAGAAGAAGAGGAAAGAAGAGAAUGAGAGAAAAUCAGAAAAUAAAGCAUGCCAUGCCAAAUGAAAGGAAAAGAGAGCAGCUACUUGCAGAUAAAAAAUUCAAAAGGAAGGGGCUACACAAUUUUUCCCACGUGAAGGCCAAGCUAGCAAAGAGACGAUGCGCCCAGCUCUCUUAUGCUCUCUCUCUUCUGCAACCCGCCAUGCAUCAAUACAAGCAUUUGUGAAUCAAUCCACACAAACCAUGCAACUCAAGCAUUUCACUUGAUGCAAUCAUUUCAAGCAAACCAAACCAGAUAUCACAAGAUCAAGCUUCUCAGGCCAAACAAUCAUCAUAAAAAUGAGAACUUGGCAGUUUUAGAUGCUGGAAGCACAUAGAAGAAGCCAUGCUAUCACCAUAUCAUGCCAAAUUGUCACCAUCGCAACAAAGGGAUAUCCUAAGUUCAUCAUGCCAUGCAAUGACCUAAACAAAUACUCAGAAGGCCACGCUGCAAGAGUUUUUGCAGCUCAUGCCAAUCAAAUCUUUUUUUGAUGAUUAUGGUGCACUUGGCGGCUGAGUAAGGAAUUCAUUGCAAUCACCACCAAUAAAGCCAAAACCUCAAUAACCAAAUUCAAGCCAAGCAAAACAUGGAAGAUAAUGAUACACUAUACGAGAUGCCCCUGGAAAAUAACACAAGCUCUAUAUUCAUGCUGUCGGAAGAGUGAACCCUCAUGCCAUGCCAAGCUAUAUCUUGAUUCAACGCAACCGUUAGAUUAUCCACAUCCUCAUAGCAAGUCCAAGCUAAUCAUGCCAAGCCAAGUUACGUUUUUUCCAGCACAUAUUCCAUGCCAAACAAAACAGUUUCCAGCACCUAUCCUGAUUCAAAUAUCCUUCCAGCACUUGCCCUGUUUCAAAUAUCCUUCCAGCGCAUGCCCUAUUUCAAACACCAUGCCAGCACCUGCUCUAUUUCAAAUAUCCUUCCAGUACAUGCCAAUGCCAAACAUCAAGCAUACAUGCCAAUGCCAAAAUUGUUGAUGUUAAAUUAUAGAUUGGGAAUUUGGAGUAAACCACAUUAUACUAAAAUGUAAUUGACAUAUAUAUAUAUAUAUAUAUAUCACUAAGCAACAAACACAAUUCAAUAUCCCUCACUCUACUCAAAACUAUGGGUUUAAAAAAUAAAAAUAAAAACGAACUAUACCUAAAAUGCAAUCUUACCCCAUGUACACAAUUUUACUUUUCUACUACUGGUACAACAUAAAUUAAUAUAUAAGGAGCUUGGUAUAACAUGUAUACUAUUCUACUACUAAUGCGACAAACUGUACUGCAACGAUCAUAUGAAUAAACGCAUGACAAUCGUGAAUGUACACACGUGUAUUGUUUUCUUUCUAAAAGCUUAAUUGAAAUCCAAGUUCAUUAUGAUGAAUAUGUUUUACGCAAAACCAUUAAUUCUUUCAAGUCUUUUAUCUUUCUCUCUUUUUCUUCAAGAGGCAUUUGAAGUUUAUAACCCGUCUGUUUUAGGGUAUAAUUGUUUCAAACAUAUAGAAUUUCUUGCCAAUGGGUACUUUGAGGAUUACUUGAAUAUGUUACUGACACGAACCUUAUCUGAAGAAAUUUCAAAUUCAGGAUAUCGAGUUGAAGUUAUAGGUGGCAUAUUUGAAUUUGUGAAAGAAAACAAUACUUCUGAAUAUUGGCUAGCACAAUGUUGGAAUUAUAUUCGAAAUGAUGAGCGUUACGCACCAUAUGAUGUAGCACGGAAAAUUGUCUGAGUAGAGCAAGCCCACAACUUCAAAAGCUUUGCGGGAUCAGUUCUUUGGUAGAAUUGACAUGAAUAACACGCUUUAUGGGAUGAGUUCAAAAGUUGUUAAUAAUCCCAAGUUGAUUCAAGAUAAAGUUCAUGCGUUGCUCACCCGCUUAAGUUUUAAAGCUAUUAAUGGACCGUUGUGCGCUAAUGGCAAGAUAAAAAUAUCACCAAAAGGGAAAAAUGUUUUUGGUACCGUUGAAUGUACUAAGGACCUUUCUGAAGUAAAUUGUAAGGAGUCUCUUGAUGUUGCAAUAACUGAACUUCAAGAUCGUAGUUAUGGAAUGAGAGGUGGACAUGUUUUUUAUGGCAGUUGUUACAUAAGAUUUGAAUUUCAUCGAUUUUACUAUUAAUGCCAAAAUCAUCAUCUCUAGAUCUAUCCAACAAUAAACUUCCGGGUUUCUUGUGUGGAAUCAAGGCCAGUAAUUUAACCCUUCUUGAUCUCACGGGCAACCAUGUAUCUGGAGAACUUCCAGAUUGUUGGGCGCAUUUAGAAAAUCUAGUCUAUCUUGGCUUGUGUGGCAAUGGUUUUUUUGGCAAAAUUCCUACCACCUUGGGGAAUUUAUACUCUCUUGAAACCUUGAAACUCAAAAACAACAGAUUUGUGGGAGAGUUUCCUUCAUCCUUGAUGAACUGUAAACACUUGAAAGUUUUUGAUGUUGCAGAACUGUCAGGAUUGAUACCUGGAUGGUUAGGGUUUGAACUUCGGAAGUUGGUUUUCCUUAUCCUCCGUUCUAAUCUCUUUUAUGGAAGAAUUCCUUUACAGUUAUGCAAUCUAACACACGUCCAAAUAUUGGAUUUGUCAAUUAACAACAUCUCUGGAACUAUACCCAAGUGUCUCAACAAUUUAACGGCUUUAGUUGAUAAAGGACAUUCAAUUCUAACCAUCACUCAUCAUUAUGCAAGUGAUUUUGGAAAUGGGAUUUUUUUGGAGAGCUAUGAUGAUGCAGCAACCUUAAUAUGGAAAGGAAUAAUGUCUGAAUACAAGAGCACUCUGGGACUUGUGAAGAGCUUUCAUUUGUCAAGCAAUCAAUUGACGGGGGAGAUUCCUAAAGAAAUCAUUCAUCUUGGUGGUUUGGUUUCUUUAAACCUGUCGCGAAACCAUCUAACAGGUCAAAUAAAUCCAGACAUUGGGAAGUUGGAGUUAUUACAGUCUCUUGAUUUAUCAAGAAACCAGAUCGAUGGAAGAAUUCCAACAAGUCUUUUUCAGAUAUACAGUCUUGGUGACUUGGACUUGUCAAACAACAACAUUGGGGUCUCAACUCCAAAACUUUGAUCCGUCAGCCUUUGCCGAAAACCCUCUGCAUUGUGGACUUCCACUUCAAAGGAUGUGUGAUCAAGAGAAAGAGAAAGGCAGUGUUCAACAAACUGGCUUAGGGAAUCAAGACCAUGAGGGUGGGCUUGUAACGCGUGGAUUUUACAUCAGUAUGGGGCUAGGAUUUGCUUUUGGAUUUUCGGGAGUUUCUGGCACAUUGAUGUUCCACGAGUCAGGCAGAUCCAUAUAGUUAAAGUUCUUCAUAUUUUAGAAAGAAUGACUCAACCUGAGGCCAGCAAUAUCAUUAGGUAAAGGGUAAUUAGUAUGAUAUGUAUUCAAAGAUUGAAUUAAUAUAACGUUUGAAGUUAGCAUGAUAUGUAUUCAAAGAUUGAAUAUAACGUUUGAAGUUAACAUGAUAUGUAUUCCAUUUACUAGUUGUACAAAAGAAAUUAGCGUCAUCCUCUUGAAUUAACAUAUGCGUCGAUCAUCAUAUAUAUAUUGUCGCUAAGAUUAAUUUGGUUUUUGUAUUUUAUCAUCAACAAUUGUUUAAUAUAUAUUCCACCUUCAUGUGGGGUAUAGUUCAGUUGGUUGAGCUCUUCCAUCUCCAACUCCUCCAAACACUGAAUGAAUAUUUUUGUUGAGCUCUUUAGUGUAAUACACUUUUGUGAUCGUUGGCUAUUUAGGGAGAGUUUGUUGGGUUAGUAUGCCAAAGUUUGAUAUUCCUUUAUCUGAUCUUACACUCGGGGGGAGUAUGUUUUUGCAACUACAGUACAAGCCUUGUUGAUCUUGAAAUUGCGGACGACAAUCUAACUGGUUUAAUUCCCAAUGUUUUUGGAAAUAUGAGCUCUCUUGCAUAUCUUGAUCUCUCUAUUAACCAGAUUGAUGGAGGGAACCCGAAUUGGUUUGCCAGGCUAUGUAGUUUGCAAUCAUUGUGGCUUCAAAGAAAUCAUAUGAGUAGACAAUUAUCCAAGUUUGUUCAAGUAUUGCCCACAUGUGCUCAAAACUCAUUAGAGGAUUUGAAUCUCUCUAAGAAUGCUUUUCAUCUUUAAAAUACCUGAAUUUAGCUGGAAACUAUCGAAUUUAGCAAGAAUUCUUUUAAAGGGAUGAUUUCUGAAACCCAUUUCUCAAAACUCUCCAAAUUAAGGUCUUUAGAUUUAUCCCUUAACUCCUUAGUUUUAAAUUUCCAUUCUGAUUGGAUUCCUCCUUUCCAACUGAGUAUCAUUAUAUUAAGCUUCACAUUUCCCAAAAUGGCUUCAAACUCAAAAAGAUUCUUACGAACUUGAUAUUUCAAAUGCUGGAAUUUUUGAUAUCCUUCUAAGUUCGUUUUGGAGUAUGUGUCGUAACUCCACCUUUAUUAAUCUCUCACACAACCAAAUUAGUGAAAUAUUUGCAAAUUUGACACUGGAUUUUGCAUAUUCCCCAACUCUAUCAAAAGCCUCAUAUCUGGAUCUCUCUAAUAAUAAAAUUUCAGGGUCGCUUUCUUUCUUGUGUGCAAGUGUAGCUAUGAAUUUAUCGUUUCUUAAUUUCUCAAGCAACAGUUUUUUUUGGAGAACUUCCUGAUUGCUGGAACCAUUGAUUCGGACUUCUCUGAUUAGUAUGUAUUGAUUCCAGCCAGUGUGAAUGAAAAAAUUUCCCAGCCGAAGCGGACUUGAUUUUAAUAUUUACAGCUGUUCAAUAUCACUUUUCUAUCCUUAAUUUUAUGAAUUGGACACUCCUUAACUUUGUCUUGAAUAAAUGUAUGACUUUGCUUUGGUCUCACUAGUUAAAAAAAACCCUUGCGCGACGAAACCUAAAACUUCGUUGCUCAAAGUCUUGCGCGACCAAAUUUUGCACGACGAAAAAUAAUUCGUCGCGCAAAGUCACUUCGCGCGACAAACUUUUGCGCAACAACAAUAAAUCGUCACACAAAGUCUUGCACAACCAAAUUUUGCGCGACGAAAAAUAAUUCGUCUCGCAAAGUCACUUUGCGUGACAAAUUUUUGCGCAACGACAAUACAUCGUCUCCCAAAGUGACUUUGCGCGACGAAACAAUAAACUUCGUCGCGCAAAGUCCUUAUAAAAAAAUAAAAUAAAAAAUUUAUUUUCUAAAAUCUUUGCAUGACGUAAUCCAAACAUUUCGUCGCCUAAACCAAUUUAUUUUUGUUUUUUAUUUUGUGUGCAUAACACUUAAGAAAUUAAACGAUAUAUAUAUUUAUUAAGUAGCUUUAAAUUUAUUACUUUAGAUUGGAUCGGAUUUUUGUUAGAAAAAUAUAUUAUUGUUGUUCAGAUUGGGUUUUUGUUAGAAAAUAUAUUUUUUAAAUUGACGAUCGAAUUAUUUCAUUGUAUUCAUAUAGGGUCAAGGAGUGUAGCUGUAAAAAAUCAUCAAAAUCGGAGUUAAAAUAAAAGUUAAUCGUGAUUUUUCAUUAUAACCAUCGAAAUUUUUUGUCCCAUUACUUGAUCUCUAAAUGUUUAUUUAUUUUUUUAUUUUUGGCGUAUAUGAUCUCGAAGUAUAAACAAACAAGUUUGACGGUUGGAUCGUUGGAACUAGUUUUGUUGAAUGCAUAUGCCAUCAAAACAAUAUAUUCACUAACAAUUAAGAGUUUAUUUAUACUUUCAUUAAAUAUAACAUAAGAUUUUGUAGUAUCCACUAGUGUACAUAUUUUAAAUUGAAUAUUAAAUUUAGUCAUUGUAUUCAUAUAGGGUCAAGGAGUGUAGCUGUAAAAAAUCAUCAAAAUCGGAGUUAAAAUAACCAUUAAAUCAUGAUUUUUCAUUUAUAACCAUCGUAGAGUUUUGUCUCGUACUUGAUCUCUGAAUGUUUAUUUUUUCCGAUUUUUGGCGUAUAUGAUCUCGAAGUAUAAACAAACAAGUUUGACGGUUGGAUUGUUGAAACUAGUUUCGUAGAAUGCGUAUGCCAUCAAAACAAUAUAUUCACUAACAAUUAAGAGUUUAUUUAUACUUUCAUUAAAUAUAACAUAAGAUUUUGUGGUAUCCACUAGUGUAAAUAUUUUAAAUUGAAUAUCAAAUUCAGUCAUUAUAUUCGUAUAGGGUCAAGGAGUGUAGCUGUAAAAAAUCAUCAAAAUCAGAGUUAAAAUAACCGUUAAAUCAUGAUUUUUCAUUUAUAACCGUCGAAAAGUUUUGUCCCGUUACUUGAUCUCUAAAUGUUUAUUUUUUCCGAUUUUUGGCGUAUAUGAUCUCGAAGUAUAAACAAACAAGUUUGACGGUUGGAUCGUUGAAACUAGUUUCGUAGAAUGCAUAUGCCAUCAAAACAAUAUAUUCACUAACAACUAAGAGUUUAUUUAUACUUUCGUUAAAUAUAACAUAAGAUUUUGUGGUAUCCACUAGUGUAAAUAUUUUAAAUUGAAGAUCAAAUUCAGUCACUAUAUUCAUAUAGGGUCAAGGAGUGUAGCUGUAAAAAAAUAAUCAAAAUCGGAGUUAAAAUAACCGUUAAAUCGUGAUUUUUCAUUAUAACCAUCGAAAAAUUUUGUCUCGUUACUAGAUCUCUGAAUGUUUGUUUUUUGCGAUUUUUGGGGUAUACGAUCUUGAAGUAUAUACAAACAAGUAUGACGGUUGGAUCGUUGAAUGGUGUGUGUAUAUAUAUAUAUAUAUAUAUUUAUUAAGUAUCUUUAAAUUUAUUUAUUUUGUAUGUAUAACACUUAAGAAAUUGAAUAGUAUAUAUAUUUAUUAAGUAGCUUUAACUUUAUUUAUAUUUUAAAUUGUAAAAUAAAUUAUUUUAUUUUUUAUUAUUCAUAACAAUUAUUUUUAUAAAUAUUGUGUUACGAACCAAUUUUUCGUCUCUCAAAAGUUUGCGCGACUAACAGUUCGUUGCGUAAAACUCUAAAAACUUGGGCGGGUACCAAAAAUGGGACGCGGGAUAUUUUUUUUUUUUAAAUUUUAAAUUUAGACUUUGUGCGACCAAUAUUUUUUGUCGCUUAAAACUUUGCGCGACCAAUAUAUAUUUUUCGUCACGCAAAAAUUUGGGCGGGUACCAAAAAUGAGACGGAAUUUUUUUAGACUUUGCGUGACCAAUAUGAAUAUUUCAUCGUGCCAAAAUUUAAAAAUUUUGGCGGGUACCAAAAAUGGGACGAGGGAAUUUUUUUUAGACUUUGCACGACCAAUAUUCCUAUAUUCGUCGCGCAAAGUUUUGUGCGACCAAUAUGUUUCAUCACGCAAAAGUUUGCGCGACCAAUAUAUAUUUUUUGCGUGCAAAGUGAUACGGUUUUUAAAACCAAAAUAACUCCUCCACCAUUUUCUCAAUGUCUUUCUCUACUCUUACCUCUCCUCUCUCUUUCCCUCUCCCCAAAUCCCACCCUUUCUCUCACACUCACUCCUCUCACUUAAUCUCUCAUCUUUCUCUUCACUAUCUCUCACUCUCACUCACUCUCUCAUCUCUCUUUUCACUAUCUCUCACUCUCACUCACUCUCUCAUCUCUCUAUCACUAUCCUCUCUAAUUCUCUCACACUCACUUCUCCCUCUCAUUCUCACUCUCUCAAUCUUGCCAACAGGUAUAUUCUCUCCAAAUUUUAAAUUUUUUUCAUUAAUACGUGUUUUUGGAGUUAGUUUUGAGUUAGUUUGGGGUUGAGUAAAGGGGAGGGAUUGGAGUUUGGGUUGGAUUUGUGGUAUAACAAUUUUAGGGGAGAUUAUGCCUUCUUUUUUUUUUUUUUUUUUUGUUAUUUGACCAUAUUUGUUUUUUGUAGGGAAUCAUCGGGACUUUGACGGCUAAAGUUCAGAAACUCAUUUCGAUAUGGAUCUCUCUCAGAAUCAAAUUAGAGGAACAAUUGGAAAUUUGAGAUCGGAGUUUCCACCUAAGCUAAAUGUGAGUUGGAACCAAUUGGUGGGUCCAAUCCCUUCAACUCCAUUAGAAGCUACUUUUUUAGAUCUCUCCCAUAAUAAAUUUUCAGUGGCAGCAGCUCCUUUUUUGGGCACAACCAAGGAUAGUAAUUUAGCUUUUCUUGAUUUCUCAAGCAACCACAUAUUCGGAUAACUUCCGGAUUGCUGGAUCCAUUUUAAAAAAUUAGUCUUUCUUGAUUUGAGCAAUAACUCUUUAUCUGGAAAAAUUCCUACCACCAUGGGGUACUUGUUUAGCAUUGAGACACUAUGACUAAAGAACAAUGGAUUUGUGGGAGAGUUGCCUUCACAAUUCAAGAAUUGUAGAAACUUGACACUUAUUAAUCUUGCGGAAAAUAAAUUAUCAGGAUCAAUACCUGAAUGGUUUGGGGCAUGUCACCCGAAUUUGGCUAUCCUUAUCCUUCAAUCUAAUCACUUCUAUGGAAGCAUCCCACCACAAUUAUGUCAUCUUGAAAGUAUUCAACUUUUGGAUUUGUCCAUGAACAAUAUCUCUGGGACUAUACCGAAAUGUCUCAACAGUUUGACUACUUUGACUCAAAAAGGAAGUUCAAGUCAAACUAUCCAACAUUCCUUUAUGGGUCAUUAUGCACAAGUGCCUUUUUAUGAGGUUUAUGAUGAUGAAGCAUCUUUAAUAUGGAAAGGAUUGAGAGCUGAAUUUAACAGUACACUAGGACUUGUAAAGAGUAUUGAUCUCUCAAGCAAUAAGUUGAUUGGGGAGAUUCCUAGUGAAAUCACUCAUCUUGUUGGUUUGAUUUCUUUAAACCUGUUGAGAAACCAAUUAAUAGGUCAAAUACCUUCAAGGAUUGGAAAUUUAUAGGAGUUAGAGUCUCUUGAAUUAUCAAGAAACCAGAUAAAUGGCAGAAUUCCAACAAGUCUUUCUCGAAUAGCUAGUCUUAGUAAGUUGGACUUGUCAAAAAACAACUUGUUUGGAAAAAUUCCAAUAGGCACUACUCCAAAGCUUUGACUAUGCUUAUGGUGGAAAUCCUUUGCUUUGUGGGGCACUACUCCGAAGGACAUGCUCUGAGGAGGAAAAGGUCCAGGACAACCUGUGUUGGUGAACCAAGACGGCCAGCGAUCGGUCGCUUUUCCCGAAGCCUUUGUCCUUCAGGUGAGCCAUUUAUUUCCAACAUAGGCAAAUACAAAUACCAGAGAAAACACAGUUAGAAGACGACCCAACGAACCGUUGGUGGCAUCGUCAAAUUCCUCACUAGUUCCAAACUAAUGAUGGGGUGGACAAGGUAACCCAUCCUUAUUAAGAAUGGGACCUGAAGACAGUAGCCAAUUUUGAACGGGUUAGAGGGACUUUAAUGAUGAUUUCAAAUACCUCUUUAC